CGCUGAGGGAAAACGAAUGGCUGUCUUGUUCAUUAGGACACGUGCUGAAUGAAGGCAACAUCGUCAUCAUGCCAAUUGUGCACACUGCCAGCGGCCAGGAAGCACCAACAUCCACUAUUAGGGCGAUCCAGGACUUCAAAGAUGACCUUCCCCCUGCCUAGACAGGACAGCCAUCGGGACGGCAAGUACGCCACCUCCAGGCGACCGUUUUGAUGAGGGGGAGAAGCGGCAGCAGCAGAAGAUGCUACAGAGGUGAGCCGCUGAGGGUAUUAGUGCUCUUUAGCUGUGCUUUUAUUAUGCUAAUGUGCUGUGAGGCUUCCUCAAAGCGGGCUGAUACUGUACACACCAUGACUUCUACAGCUGCAGGCGUACCUAAAGAAGUGGCCUCUGUCACUUUGAAUAGUCAAUAUGCAGGAACACCCUUUGCAAUGUGUC